rnacentral:rRNA from 1 species
AGGAUGAACGCUGGCGGAGUGCCUAACACAUGCAAGUCGAGCGGCAGCGGGAGUAGUUUACUACUUGCCGGCGAGCGGCGGACGGCUGAGUAACGCGUGGGAACAUGCCCCAAAGUGAGGAAUAACUGCCCGAAAGGGUAGCUAAUGCCGCAUAUGAUCUUCGGAUUAAAGGAUUUAUCCGCUUUGGGAGUGGCCCGCGUUAGAUUAGGUAGUUGGUGAGGUAAAGGCUCACCAAGCCGACGAUCUAUAGCUGGUCUGAGAGGAUGACCAGCCAGACUGGAACUGAGACACGGUCCAGACUCCUACGGGAGGCAGCAGUGAGGAAUCUUCCACAAUGGGGGAAACCCUGAUGGAGCAACUCCGCGUGCAGGAUGAAGGCCCUCGGGUCGUAAACUGCUUUUAUUGUGAAGAAUAUGACGGUAACAAAUGAAUAAGGGUCGGCUAACUACGUGCCAGCAGCCGC